CUAACCAAACUAACAAGAUCA
rnacentral:snRNA from 1 species